rnacentral:tRNA from 1 species
GUCGGGAUAGCUCAGCUGGUANAGCAGAGGACUGAAAAUC